GGAAAAACUGGAAACAGAGAGCUGUUAUCCAUAGUUGAAGGACAACAAAGGACAAAUUACCAACAUGCCAACAUUGUAGGGCAGGCUAAACGCUCCGCUACUGAAACACUUAACUCUGUUCGAAGUGAGGCAGAGUCUACUAGCAGCAGAGGAAGUGGCGUUGUAGAUAUGCGUCACAAUGGAUCUGAUGUCGUAUGAGGAAGAUAGCAGCUUUGAGGGAGUGUCACGAUGGAUAGUGUGACCCCCAAGCCAGGAGCUCACCGACCUGUUGCAUGCUGCAGACAAGGCUGCAAGCUAAUCCAAAGUACAAAGCAUCACAGGCGUCUGUAGAAUGGAUGAUGUUCUGACAGCCACCACCAGAUGAGUCAGAGGUGGACAGACAUUUUGUCCCGCAGUGCAGCAUUUGAUAUGUUUUGUGAAUGGUUUAUAAACCAUAAACUUUUUAUCAA